rnacentral:lncRNA from 1 species
AUAGUAACAUACCAUAUGUAUGAAAUUAUUGACAUAAUAGGCGUUUUAAUACACUUUACCUACCGACACAUUUUGCUCUUAAUCAUCAUCCAUAAAUGUCACAUCACCGCAUUCGCUAGCCAAGCACAAAGAGGGAAAUCUAUAUAUCUUGUUCCACACCAUUCUUUAUGAAAUAUUGCCAUACGCUUCACAUUCCUUCCAAAGAUCUAUUGUUUGUGUCAUUUCUGGGAAAUUGGAAACAUAAAUCGUUGUCAAAAUUUUGUCGACAUUACUCUGCUUAGGGUUAUGGGAUGCAUUCUCAUAUACCGUCUUAUUAAAGAUCCACUGCCAAUCAUUUCCGGUCCCCAUCAUAAUACGACUUCAAGGAAGCAUUUCAACGAUCAAUGUUAAGACGAUAAUGCAGAGUUGUAUGUCAAAAACAACGGCGAUGAUAAAAGUCAAUGGCGGUCAACAGUCUUGCGCUGCAAGGACUAUUACCUUGUUU